GUCGCAAGCCUGAUCCAGCCAUGCCGCGUGAGUGAUGAAGGCCCUAGGGUUGUAAAGCUCUUUUGUGCGGGAAGAUAAUGACGGUACCGCAAGAAUAAGCCCCGGCUAACUUCGUGCCAGCAGCCGCGGUAAUACGAAGGGGGCUAGCGUUGCUCGGAAUCACUGGGCGUAAAGGGUGCGUAGGCGGGUCUUUAAGUCAGGGGUGAAAUCCUGGAGCUCAACUCCAGAACUGCCUUUGAUACUGAGGAUCUUGAGUUCGGGAGAGGUGAGUGGAACUGCGAGUGUAGAGGUGAAAUU
rnacentral:rRNA from 1 species